rnacentral:rRNA from 1 species
GAUGAACGCUGGCGGCGUGCCUAAUACAUGCAAGUCGAGCGAAUGGAUUAAGAGCUUGCUCUUAUGAAGUUAGCGGCGGACGGGUGAGUAACACGUGGGUAACCUGCCCAUAAGACUGGGAUAACUCCGGGAAACCGGGGCUAAUACCGGAUAACAUUUUGAACCGAAUGGUUCGAAAUUGAACGGCGGCUUCGGCUGUCACUUAUGGAUGGACCCGCGUCGCAUUAGCUAGUUGGUGAGGUAACGGCUCACCAAGGCAACGAUGCGUAGCCGACCUGAGAGGGUGAUCGGCCACACUGGGACUGAGACACGGCCCAGACUCCUACGGGAGGCAGCAGUAGGGAAUCUUCCGCAAUGGACGAAAGGCUGACGGAGCAACGCCGCGUGAGUGAUGAAGGCUUUCGGGUCGUAAAACUCUGUUGUUAGGGAAGAACAAGUGCUAGUUGAAUAAGCUGGCACCUUGACGGUACCUAACCAGAAAGCCACGGCUAACUACGUGCCAGCCGCCGCAGUAA